rnacentral:lncRNA from 1 species
AUCAGCACACUGGUUUCCUUCUCUUAGACAAUGAUGAACGGUGAAAUUCCUUGAGGACAAAAGAUCUCUGAUAUCUUAAAGUAACAGAGCAUAGGCAUGGUAAGUGGAGGCGUGCACAAUAAGGAGCUGAAUGGAGAUCAUGGAGUCCGAGUAACAAAUCAUUUUGUUAAUACCUAAAUCAAUGGCCAGCAGAAUACCACGGUGUAUUGUUGAUGGUUCGAAGCAUGAGGCAGGCAAUGACUGGCUGCAAAAUGGGAAUUGCCCGAUUGCAAAGUCAUACCAGGCUGUUAGUAAAGUGCUUCCGCUUGUAG